rnacentral:lncRNA from 10 species
UGACUCACCUGAAGUCACAUACAGAGGCAGAGCCCGGACAGGAAUCAGGUGUUUUGGUGCCACAGUCCGAGACUUAGGCAAUGCUCCUUAAGGCCUCUUUCUUCCUGAUGUCUCAGGAACCCUUCCAAGGCCACAAGAGCAGGAAGCUGCCAGGGCCAGAUAAGCUCUGCCGGGACAUGAGGUUCCCAGUAGAUGGUGCUUCCAUUUGCUGCCUCCAGCUCUCUGCUCAGCCAUCCCAGUGGGGGUACGGAACCGAUUUGAUGAGAUCAUAAGCGAGGGCUUCGCUCCCUGUUUGGAACACAGCCAAGUGCCCCAUAAACCCCACUGGUAUCGUCAUGACUUGGUGAAGGAACAAGUGGGCAUUACAGAGUGGGAGCCACGUGGCAAAGCCCUGGGGCUUGGACCAGCAUUCGGUCAACAGACACACGCUGGAGAGCUGCGGUGUGCCAGGCAGGGAGGCCACCGAGUGCCCAGCUGGGAAGACCCGGAGGUGGGGUGGAGGCUUGUUAGGAGGCUGGCGCAGGUGGCAGAGGCUGCCCGCUCAGAGCUUGGACUCCCUUUGCAGGUGGGGUCCAGGUCUGCUCUUAUCUGGACGUGGCCCGUGGGCCCCAAAGUUGCCAGCAGACUGGAGAGGCCCCUGGGGCCUGGGCCCCUACCUGUUGCCUGCUCGGGGGCUGGCGCUUGCAGCUUCCCUCCACCCUGCCUCCCUCCUUCCUGCACUUCCAUCUUGCAGGGCUCCUCGGAAAAUGCAAUUUGAGUCAAGCCACUUUCAAUUACUAAGAUGCUGUGUUCUGAGCCCACGAGGUAAUAAAGGGCCUGUUUGCCCUCCUGGGAAUGUUGGGGUUUUUCAGGUGCCAAAGAUGAGAGAGAAAGGAAGUGAGGCCAAGAGCUGCUUGGGGGAGUAAACAGCUCCGAUAGACCCCCGUGCCAGGCGUGUGCCCCCUCCCCAGCCUGCAGCCUGCAGGCACCUGUGCAGAGACGGCUCCUCACAUCAGAGCAGCCAGGAGGCAGGGAGAGCCGGAGAGCUGGAGCUGGUAGGGGUGUGUGCAGCCGUGUGCAAAAGGCAGGGUGUGUGCGAGUGUGCAAAUAUGUGAGCGUGAGUUUUGUGUGAGCAAGUGUGUAUCGGUGAGUGUGCCACUGUGAGGGUGUUAUGUAUGUGAGUGUGAGCGUGUGUGUUGUGUGAGUGUGGGAGUGAGUGUGAGUGUGUGAAUGUGAGAGGGUUAGAGGGUGAGCAUGUAAGUGUGGGUGUGAAUUUUGAGUGUCAAUAUGAGAGCAAGUGUGAAUUUUGAGUGUGAUAAUGUGAGCAUGAGUUUUGAGUGUGAGCAUGAGAUGUUAGUGUGAAUUUUGAGUGUCAGUAUCAGAGCAAGUGCAAAUUUUGAGUGUGUGUGAAUUUUGAUUGUGAGUACAUAAGUGUGAGUGAAUUUUGAGUGUGAGCAAGAGAUAGUGUGAAUUUUGAGUGUUAGUAUGAAAGCGAGUGUGAAUUCUGUGUGAUUUUUGAGUGUAAGCAUGGGUGUAGUUCUGUGUGAGCAUGUUAAUGUGAAUUUUGAGUGUAAGCAUGUGAGUUUGCAUUGAGUGUGAGCAUGUGAGAUUUUGUGUGAGCAUGAUGCUAGUGUGAAUUUUGAGUGUGAGCGUGUGAGUGUGCAUUUCGAGUGUGAGCAUGAGAUGUUAGAGUGAAUUUUACGUUUCAGCAUGAGGUGUUAGUGUGAAUGUUGAACAUUAGUAUGAGAGUGUGACUUUUGAGUGUGAGCGUGUGAGUGUGCGUGUGAAUUUUGAGUGAGCUUGUGAGCAUGUGUACAUUAUAAGGGUGAGUAUGAGAUGUUAGUGUGAAUUUUGAGUUUCAGUAUGAAGUGUUAGUGUGAAUUUUGAGUGUUAGUAUGAGAGUGUGAAUUUUGAGUGUGAAUUUUGAGUGUGAGCAUGAGACUGUGUGUGACUGAGUGCACAGGUGUCCGGUGGUGGGUUGAGGAAGCCCAAACCUCCAACCUUCCCCCUGGGAGUGGGGCCGGGGCUCCAGGGCAGGGCUGGGCUGGGCUCACUUCCCUCCUCUGGGAACCGGGCUCAGGGCCCUGGGGCACCUGGGACUCAGUCCCACCCCUGCUCUCCUUUGCCACACCUGGAAGAUUUUCCUGGUUCUGGUGUGUUCCUUUCAUUCCCAGUUCCUGCUCCCAAGUCCUCAUGCUGAAGCCCAGUGCCACAGCGAGGUUAUAGAGGGUGGGGGUGGUCUGUUCCCCAGGCAGCCUCUGGCCGGCUUCCUCCUCUGCGAUUCUCCACCCUCCGCUUCCCUCUGGUCUGGGCCGUUCUGUCAUCACUGAUGUGAAGAGCUCUGCCUCCCCUUCCACUGGCUUCUGCUUUCCACACUGCUGCAGCCUGCCCCCACCAAACCUGCCCGCCUGAGAACCUGGGUGACCAUGAGCACUGGGGCCGGACACCCAAGACCGUCCCAGACUGAGAAGACCAGGUACAGUGGACCCUGCUCAGCGGACUGUGGUGUCCCCCUGUGCCACCCGAGGACAUUCCAAGGUUAUCUGUCAACACUUCUGCCAGACCCAAAUGUGCUGCCUCAUGUGGCCUCUGGGUGGGCUGUCUCCUGGCCUGGUCCCCCCACCUGACCAUGGGAGGAACACCCUGCCCCUGGGGCACCGCCAGGUCCCUGAAACUGCAGCCCUGGGUGGGUGGCCUCAUCUGAAGUCCAGGUCCCCUCCCGGCCCCAUCUGGGCCUGCACAAGCUCCUUUUCCCGCUGUCUCCAGCAGGCAGCUCUGGGGCCGUGGAGAGGGUGGGCUGGAGCUGGGGGAGGGUGGCACGCUCUGUCUGUCCUGGGCCGCCCAGGACUGUUUUUCUUUUGCACUAGACGCCCACGUCCCAGCACACCCCUCAGGUAGGCCCUAAACUCAGUGACCG